UACAGAGGGUGCGAGCGUUGUCCGGAAUCACUGGGCGUAAAGGGCGCGUAGGCGGCCUGAUAAGUAGGGGGUGAAAUCCUGUGGCUUAACUGCAGGGCUGCCUCCUAGACUGUUAGGCUCGAGCACGGUAGAGGCAGAUGGAAUUCCCGGUGUAGCGGUGGAAUGCGUAGAGAUCGGGAAGAACAUCGGUGGCGAAGGCGGUCUGCUGGGCCGUUGCUGACGCUGAGGCGCGACAGCGUGAGGAGCAAACAGG
rnacentral:rRNA from 1 species